rnacentral:lncRNA from 1 species
UUAUUAAUAUAUAUAGUAGCUUUUAUUACAAGAUAUUUACUACGUAUUUUCUGUGUUUGUGCAGUGUAUUUGUAGUCGAAAAUUUGGACUAGUAAUAUGAGUUGCUUACAAAUAGUCCUUUUAAUUGUUUUUGUUUUUCAAUCAUUGUUGAAUUUUAUCAUUUUGUUUGACUUUUUUUAUUUUGUCAAACCUCAAGAUAGUCCUUCAAUUUCCUUAGUAAUUUG